GUUAGAUGUGGCCGGCGUCAUAUACAUGUACGUGUAGGUAGCCAAAUUCACAUCAAUAGACAGUACCCAGCUACAAUGUUGUAUGUGGUUGUCUGUCAAUAUUAUGUUUGGAUCAAUUACAAGCCUGCUGAGGGUGAAUUGUGUAGUUUUGGUGAGUAUGCACUGUGCCCUGCAGUGAUAGUGAGAAUUUGUCCAAAAAGAUUGUUGCCUAUUUGCCCUCUGACUG